rnacentral:snRNA from 1 species
AGACCGAUGUCAACCUUUUGGCUAAGAUCAAGUGUAGUAUCUGUUCUUAUCAGUUUAAUAUAUGAUAUGUGGAUCAUUGAUUCACACUAUAUUAAAUUUAUUUUUUGAGGGAAAGUGUUCAUUACAAUAGCUUGCUAUUGGAACUCUUAUGCAUGACUCUUGUUUUGCACUAUUGCAUGAGUCUUCUGCAUCCCAC